rnacentral:lncRNA from 1 species
UCCCUUGGCAGGUUUGGUUGGCUUUGCCUGCGUUUCAGCACUUUUCUGGAAUUCGGUUAAUGACUCCGCCACAUCAAUGGCUUCAUCCAUUGUCUUAACUCCCCGACGCUGCAGUUCCUGUCUUACCCAAUUUGCACAACCAUCCAAGAAAUAGAACAAUAACACAUCAUUAGGCAUGCUAGGAAUCUGGAGCAUGAGGGUCGUGAAUUCCUUGACGUAUUCACAAAUAGUGCUCUUGUGCUUCAAUUCCUGCAGCUUCUUACGGUCCUCGUAUACAACAUUUUCGGCAUAAAACUGCCUUUUCAGCUCUUUCUUAAACUUGUCCCAGGUUUCAACUCUUUUACGCAACUUCAGCCAGCUUGUGUCUCCACCAUAACGCAACUGUAUCUGAAAGGUGCAUAGUUGCUGUUCGAACUUUCAUCCCUCCUCCUAGGAUAUUCACCCUUUCGAAAUAAACUUCCAUUUGCCACAAGAAAUUUUCUACAUCCUUUGCAUCUCAUUUUUCCUCAAACAUUUUUGGCUUAGGAUAUUUGAUUCUAGGAGCUGCAACUGCAGCAGUACCUCCACUCGACCCUGCAGUGGACUGCUUGUACAUAUCCAGCUUCCGACUCAUUUUGUCAAUCAAAGUUGACAAUACAUUCACCUGGUUCUGCGUGGCAGUCACAGAAUCAAGCGCUUCAUUUUGCAGUCGACCAAGGUCUUCUUCUCUGGGUGCUACUGGAAAUUGUAGGUUGCUCAUAUUUUUUUCUCUUGAUGCCCAGUUGGUUAUGUUUUCCUUGUAGGACUUUAAUGAGUAUUCUAGAUGAUUAUGUUGAUGGCUACUAGUCAUAAGAGAUGUUAGAAUCUCAGGUAAUUGUUACACAUUGUCUUCUUCUUGCCAACUCUUUUUACUAGAUUUAUUUCAAAAAUGAGUUUCUUCUUGAACUAAAUAUCUUGCCAAAACUGUACAUCCAACUUUACGAGGUAUUGUGUCCAUAAAAGUGUUUUCUUCACCUGGUUUAUAAUCUGUUCAUGGUCAUGGAUUUUCUGCAGAAAGUAUACAAGAAUCAAUUUUUUUUUUUUUUUUUUUUUUAACUA